rnacentral:lncRNA from 1 species
UUUUGGAGUUAGAGUUUGCAUGUGGUCAGCUGAGCUGUUUCUCUGGGUUACUCCUAAAGGAAGAUAUAGCCAAGGCUUCAUGGGAGAGCUCUCUCUGUUCCCUCCAUGAAUCUACACUGAAGCAGGGCUGUGCCAGAAGCAGGAAGGUAUUUUUGGAGACUGAUGCCACUGGUGACUCAAGACGAAGCCUUCAUGCCUCUCUGAUGAAGACAGGCUGUUCCCAUCAGGGGAAGGUUAGAGCAGUACACUCAGUGACCAGAACACUCAACCCAGCCUCUCCCUGGCCACCAAGGAGGUUGAGCUCUGGUGGGGCACCCUGACAGGAUCACUGCUGCCAGGAGGUGAUGCUCCCCUUCAUCCUCACAACACCUCUACAUUCCCACCCUGCAGAUGCACUUAUGGCCACCCUGCAGCACCAGUGUUUCUUGGAACUCUCACCAAGCUGAACCAGCUCCUGAAAUGAGAGGGAAAUGAACAUCAGGAAUAAAGGGCAUAUUCCGGUGGAUCA